CUUAUUGCCUUUGUGGACCCAAUCCAUUCCGCAAUGGAAUAAAGGAUGACGAUGAUUAUUAUCUUCAGAGCUCCAACUGUAAUUCGAAAUGUAGCGGUGAUAAGUCACAAUUUUGUGGAGGAUUUUGGUAUAUUUCUGUGUAUGAUACAGGUACAUGUAUUAUUAAAUUAGCUUUGGAUUUUCAAAUAUUUUGGACUCAAUCAUCAUUGAAGAGACAUCGAUUUUCGAAAUGCGCAUGUAGUUCAAAAAAUGGGUACCAUUUAUAAUAUUAUACUGAUCUAAAAUAAGAAUGUGUACCAGUUCAUAUCCACCUAUAUGUUUGGAGAGGGUGUGAACGAUCAUUAAAAGUUUAAACAUCUCGAUGUUGAAUGUUUUAAAAUACGAAUAAAUGAUUGACUCAGAUCGACUUCCAGUCUCUAAUCGACGUUCGUUUCACAUCAAAUCAACGUCCAGUUAAGAUGUCACAUUCUCAUAUUAUUGUCUAACAUUUUGCCACUCUAAUCGAAGUCCAGUGUGACGUUAUGUGUUGCCAAAAACUAACGACGUCCGGUCGUUUAUAGUCUUCUCUGUCUUCUCUAUUCGGUGUCUAAUAACAAUGCAUGAUAAAUUCGUGCACGUAUUCGUUCAUUGUGUAAUCAUACGUUUUUUGAUUGAGUUAAGUCUGCCAAUUGAUAUUUUAUCGUAUGUUUUUCUAUGUUGUGAUGUUAUGCUAUUGUUUCAGAAAAAGGGAGAAGGUUUUGGCCCAUUAAAACGUUUAAUCCCGCUGCAAAUGUUUGCACCUGUCCUAAGUCAGGAAUCUGAUGUACAGUAGUUGUGGUUUGUUUAUGUAAUAUAUACGUGUUUCUCGUUUCUCGUUUUGUUUAUAUAGAUAAGACCGUUGGUUUUCCCGUUUGAAUGGUUUUACACUAGUAAUUUUGGGGCCCUUUAUAGCUUGUUGUUCGGUGUGAGCCAAGGCUCCGUGUUGAAGGCCGUACUUUUACCUAUAAUGGUUUAAUUUUUAAAUUGUUAUUUGGAUGGAGAGUUGUCUCAUUGGCACUCACACCACAUCUUCCUAUAUCUACGUAUACAUGAACAUAUUUUUAAGACUUUAAUUCUUUUUGAACAUUCAAUUACGAAAUAAAAAACGAAACUUCGUAUAAGGCUCCGUAUCUGUCAGCUUUACCAAAAGCACGCCUUCAAGAUGCACCGCCAUCUACUGUGACUGGUAUUAACGUGCACCUACAUAUAAGGGAUGAACACAAAAGUGUAAGCAUAUGUGUGCUUAUUGACAUGUUUGUCAAUAAAAGGAGUACAGUUACAGGUUUUACCGAAUUUAUUAGCAGAAUGUUUUAUGCAAGCUUUUCCCGUUUCACAAGUUGCAAGUCUACCCUGCAAGUUGUUAUCACGGACAAUGCACUGACCUUCGUUUCAGCUUCAAACGAAAUAAAAUCAAAUAAUUGAAUCACAAAAUGUACAAAGUAAACUCGCAGAUUUAGGUGUACAGUAGAGAUUUAUUACUAAUCGUGCUCCCUGGUUUGGUGGGACUAAUAGCUGUAACAAAAACUACGUUGAUAAAAUGCCUCGGAAAAUCAUUGGUCGUUUUUCAAACCUUGUGCACUAUUGUUACGGAGGUAGAACGUGUAACGAACUAACAUACAUCUCAACGAAUAUCAACAGCAAUGAACCACUUACCCCCAUCGCACCCCUUAUGUUGUAACAGAAUACGAUCGUUAUCGUAUCUACAUUCAGAACAGGACACCAGUGAAGACGUAUUUAUGGACUAUUCAUCACUAACUAAACAAAUUAAACUACAAAGAUAAUUUUGAAGACAUGUUUGGACAAGAUGGAAAAAAUUACUAUGUAACAUCAUUGAGGGAAUACCACAAAGCAUAUGGAAAUAACAAUGAACAAAUUAAAGUUGGUGAGGUUCUUCUUGUGCAUGACGAGAAUAAUGGAAUUAUAUCCGCUAGAAAUUACAUGUAAUACGGAAAAAAGAUGAACCGUAAUUGGUUGAAUCUCCCAUCAAAUCGAGAUGAUAAAGGACAGAUGUGAACUGUUAACUACCUCUUUUUAUAUGAACUGUAUAUCGUUCUUAAGUGUGAAAGUGUCAAAUUUUAAUACAGGGAGAGUAAUUAUUUUCUAUAUAUAGAGACUUUUAUUUUCAAGCGUAAAUAUUUCUAAUAUGAAAUUUCUUAUUCACAUUUGCAUUGUAUAUAGAAUUUUAUCUUUUUUGGGCCCAAGAAUGUUGGAAAUAAGGCGCGAACACAACGCGAGAACAUCACUUGUUUUUAUAUUGUAACGUAAAUACUUUGUGACGUGUCACUUGUAUACUUGGGCAUGCUAUAGAUCGAUUACACAUAUGAGAAUAUACAACGUUUCCCUACUUAAUUAUUUACUUCAUUUGAAAUCUGGUGGAUAGUUGUCCCAUGAGCAAUGAUAUUUAUUUUUUUUAUUUUAAGUUAUGACGUCAUUGUUGCAUUUCUAAAAUACGGACGUAGAUUAGAAAAGCCAAACAUUGGAUGUUGAUUUAAGAACAAUACAAUAGACGUGGAAUAGAGGGGCAUACAAUUGGCCGUCGACUUGGCAUCUUAUCUUAGUGUGUCUUCAAAUUUGGACCUCGAUUAAAGACUGGGCGCCUAUCUGAGUCUUGUUUAUAUAUACACAGUGCGUUUUAUUAUGUGUGGAGAGAGUAUUAAAAGCCUUCUAGCCAACAAUUAUGUGAUGAUGUAAAAUGGCAUUGAUACGUUCAUUGUUUAUAUAAAAAAGAAAAUGUGGUAUGAUUGCCAAUGAGACAACUGUCCACAAGAGACCAAAAUGUCACAGACAUUAACAACUAUAGGUCAUCGUACGGCCUUCAACAAUGAGCAAAGCCCAUACCGCAUAGUCAGCUAUAAAAGGCCCCUAUAAGACAAUGUAAAACAAUUCAAACGAGAAAACUAACGGCCUUAUUUAUAUAAAAAAAUGAAAAAAAAAACAAAAAUGUAACACAUAAACAAACGACAUUUACUGUUCUUAAAUCUAUAAAACCCUUUAAAAUACCAAGAGUUAUCUACUUCUGGUCAUAUACAACAAUUCCGGUUGAAACUUUUUAAUUUGAAUGCCUAUGCACUACCUGAUAAUGUCAGCCUUUUAUCCUAUCUCGACUGUGCGUCUUGUAUAAAGUUAUAUAAUUAGAUUGUUAUGCAUUUGGAGAAAGACAUUUUUGUAUCUUAGUUUCCUUGAAGUGUCGCUUAUAUUGUUUGUCCAAGAACAUGCAGAGCUUUUUUACAAAGAGCGGCAAUUACUAGAAAUUACAACCAGCCAAGUAUUUUUUGCAAAUUAAUGAUUAAUAUUUGAUAUCUUUCUGUAUAUCUUUUUUUUGUUGUUCUACAGAUAUAAUAUAAAGGGGAGUACUAUUUUCCCCACAAAUCAUGAACAUUGGUUUGUCCAAUUUAAAGGUAAAGAACUUUGUCAGUUGUUUUAAACUUUGAACUAACCACAGGGAAUUUUCUUAAAAUGACAAAGAGGUCACUUAAGGAAUCAUUGAUGACAAUCGACAAGGUUUACUAUGAGGCUUGUAUUUAUAAACCCGUGUAUAUAUUUGCUUUUUUAUAUCCCCAAAUGUUAUCAUUUUGGAAAUAGUUCUUUUGUCUCUGACAUUUAAGUUUUCAAUAUUCAUUAGGUAUUUCCCGCCUUUAUUUGUAAAAUGAACACAUGCAGUUAAUUUCGUGUUGUUUCAAAUCGGUAUUCAUUAUGUAAAUAAAAGCAACAGUAGUAUACCACUGUUCAGUAGUCAUAAUUUGUAUUAGCAAAACCAAAUCAGGGUAACAUACUUAAUCCGAGGGAAAUACACAAGCUCUUAGAGGAAUAUAACGGAACAAUAGAAACACUAAACUAAAACAAAAUUAAACGCCAGCAUAAAAACAAAUGCCAUAAUCCUGACUUUGUGCAGGACAUUUUAAGAUUAAAUGUUGGUUUAAACCUUGUAUUAUAGCUUGCCAAACUUUCCGCUUUUAUGACAUUAUAAAACAAAAACCUGCUCAAAUGAAAACACUUCGUCACAAGAAAAUGAUACAAACAAUUGCAAGAGCACAGAAAAAUACACAGUUAAAUAAUAUAACAUUACAUUACAACAUGUAAACCACAUAAUUAGCAAUGCCAACGAUUAAUAAUGUAUAAUGGAACUUACCAGAAUUGACUUUCAAAUUCAAUGACGUUUGAUUGUAGAUUUAUGUCAAGUUUUUAAGUUUGCUUUAUAGUGCUAAACCAUUAAUGAUAAUAUGUUUUGAAAAACAAACCUACAACUAUUAGUACCAAAAUAGUUUUAGAUGCAGGAAUAUAUUGUUAUAAAUUAAUAUGUGAUUUUGAGUAUCAUUUUUAUUUGAUGAAAGCUUCAUUUUUCAGUUGCCGCAAAUUCAUGCGAUUCAAUUUAAAAAAUUCGUCUAAAUUUGAAGAAAAAAAUAUGAGUGUAAAGACCUUGCUUGUGAAAUGACAUUUAUUUAUUUAUUUCUAUUUUAAUAGGGUUUCAUCCUUUGAACAUUCAAAAUGUUUUCUUCAAAGAAUUUGCAAAAGACUAUAAGUUGACAACACAGACCAAUGGAGUUAUAAAAAUGAAAAGCGUGUCACAAUGUGCAAUGCAUUGCUUAUCCUCUUUUUCUUGCCGAGCUUUUGAAAUGUGCAUCGACACUGCAGAAUGUAGUUUGAUAUUUGACUAUGAAACAUUGUGUGAUGGUAUCCAACAUGGGGUUGGAUACGUUAUUUAUAUGUUGCAAUAGAUAAUGAUUCAAAGUUGGAUGUAACGCGUCUUCUGAUAAGCUGACAGUGUUUUGUCUAUCAGCUCAUAGACAUAAUUCUGUAUACCUUGUCUUAACACACAUUCAUUUAUAUAAGUUGAAUGAUUUAAACCAGAAAAAUAAACAAAUUUUAUAAUUUUAAACUUCCAAAUAAAAUGAUUAACAGG
rnacentral:lncRNA from 1 species